CCUACGGGAGGCUGCAGUGAGGAAUAUUGGUCAAUGGCCGUAAGGCUGAACCAGCCAAGCCGCGUGAAGGAAGAAGGAUCUAUGGUUUGUAAACUUCUUUUAUAGGGGAGUAAAGGUAUCCACGUGUGGAUAUUUGCAUGUACCCUAUGAAUAAGCAUCGGCUAACUCCGUGCCAGCAGCCGCGGUAAUACGGAGGAUGCGAGCGUUAUCCGGAUUUAUUGGGUUUAAAGGGUGCGUAGGUUGUUUGUUAAGUCAGCGGUGAAAGUUUGUGGCUUAACGAGGGAAUUGCCGUUGAAACUGGAAGACUAGAGUGUGUAUGAGGUAGGCGGAAUGCGUGGUGUAGCGGUGAAAUGCUUAGAGAUCACGCAGAACACCGAUUGCGAAGGCAGCUUACUAAUCCAUAACUGACGCUGAGGCACGAAAGCGUGGGGAUCAAACAGGAUUAGAUACCCUUGUAGUC
rnacentral:rRNA from 1 species